CCUUUUGCCAUUGGUUCACCCUCCAAUGGCCGCUGCGGCUGGCGCGCUGCGGCUGGCGCACCGUGCUGAUCCGAAGCCAGGAGCCAGGUGCUUCUGGACUCCCAUGCAGGUGCAGGGCCCAAGCACUUGGGCCGUCCUCCACUGCACUCCCAGGCCACAGAAGAGAGCUGGCCUGGAAGAGGGGCAACCGGGACAGAAUCCGGCGCCCCGACUGGGACUAGAACCUGGUGUGCUGGUGCUGCAAGGCGGAGGAUUAGCCUAUUGAGCCACGGUGCCGGCCAGGAUAGUACUUUUAAAGGGAAUGUAUGGAAUUAUUUCUGAGAAGUGUGUUAUAUAUACUCAACAUUUUUAAAUUGUAAUGAGAACAUCACAUUCCUCAUAUUCUCUAAAACCUUUAGAUGUUUUAAUUUUGAUAAUCUGAUAGAUAAAUAAAUAUUUGAAUUUUUAUUUCCCUAAAUAUUAGUGAGAUUGAAUACAUUUUCGUACUUGCAUUUUCUUUUCUAUGAAUUGACUACUACCUUGUUUGGGGUCUAACUUCUUAUUGGACUGCUUGUCCUUUUCUAAUUGAAUUAUAGGAAUAUUUUGAAUAAUACUGAUGAAAUUUUUUAUUUCCAUCACAUUGCCAAUAUUUUCUCCUGGGGUGUCCCCGUCUAUUCAUUGUCAGCACUUUUUGUUUUUAAUUUAUCAGAAGUGUUAAUGUUUGCUAUCGCCAAACUUAGAAAAUUUUGUGUCUUUUCCUAAGAUCUCCCCUGUUCCAAGGCUGUAACUACAGUCUGUUACUUUCUUUAUUAUUCUGUGUUGUCUUUUACAUUUAGGCAUUUAAUACAUAUAAUACUUAAUAUUAUAUUUGCUGUAUAGAACAAUAUAAUGUUUUUUCAAAAUAUUUACACAGUUUACUGGAAAGCAUUUAUGGAAUAAUCCGCCAUUUCUCUAUUGAUAUAAAACCCUGCCUCUCUCAUGAUCUAAUUAACAAAAUAUAUCUGGACCAGUUUCUGGAUUGUCUAUUCAUCUGAUGUGGUUGUUUAUUCCUUAGCCAACUCCACAUAUUUUAAUUACUACUAUGUUUUAUAAUACAAUUUAAUGACUUGAAAAUCAUCUCCUUUUAUUUUUAAAUAUUGCUUUGACUAUCACUAUGCAUAUUCUCUCUCUCUUUUUUUUUUUUUUUUUUUUGACAGAGUUAGAGAGAGACAGAGAGAAAGGUCUUCCUUUUCCGUUGGUUCACCCUCCAAGUGGCCAGAUCCAAAGCCAGGAGCCAGAUGCUUCCUCGGGGUCUCCAAUACGGGUGCAAGGCCCAUGCACUUGGGCCAUCCUCCACUGCCUUCCCAGGCCAUAGCAAAGAGCUGGACUGGAAGAGGAGCAACAGGGACAGAAUCUGGCGCCCCGACCGGGACUGGAACCCGGGGUCCUGGCGCUGCAGGUGGAGGAUUAGCCUAGUUAGAGAAUUAAUGGUAAGCAGUUGAAAACCUAGAGACCCAGGGAAGCACAGCUGGAAAGCACUCAGAUCUGAACAAAUUCCAUUUCCCACCGGGUGGCAUACCAUUGCCUACCAAACAGGAAAAUGGAUUCCUUUUGACACUGAUAGCGCUGGACCUCAAGUGUGCAUUGGCAUCGCCUGGGAAAUUGUUUGAAGCACCGGCGGUUGGACCCCACCUCAGUCAGUUACAGCAGAACCCUCAGGGAAAAAAAUCAUUGUCUGUACCUUGUUUUCAAGCUACUUUAUGAAUUUGUGGAAGCAGACAUCGAAAAAGCGUGCCUGAGAUGCAGAAGGGUUACAAGCUCAACAGCAAUGCAAAUAUGGCACAGGGGAGAAAGAGGCCAUUCCCUGAGACUGUACAGGAUGCUGUAAAAAUCACAAAGGGCUUCCUGGAGGAAGAGGCAUUUGUUCCAGGCCUUGACUGCUGAGCAACUGCUCUUGGUGACAAAUGCACCUGUUGCUGAGGGAAGAGUGACAGAGGCUGAGAACAGCUUCAGAGUACAUACAAGCAGUUCACGGGUUUGAUAUGAACUAAUGACGCUGUAGAAGAUAGCUUUCAGUACCUGGGACAGCGGCAGGUGUGCCUCCAUCAGGAAGAGCAGCCCAGGGGCUGGGGCACGAGGGGUGAGCCUGGGGAGAAGUAUAAAGACCCGUUCAGGUCAUUUGUGGAGGACAGUGCCUAGAAAGAGGAGCAUGCAUUUGAGUGGCCCAGACCUCCUGGGCAAGGGAAGCUUCUGAUACCAAAUUCAAAUUCUCCAUCCAUCUGGACUUUGUGAGAAGAAAUUAGUUAUGGAAUCAUAAAAUCUGGAUUCCUUGUUCUGACAUUGCCAUAAACAAGCUGCAUCCCUCUAGGCAGGGAACUCAACAUCCUGGGACCUCCAUUGUUCUCAUCCGCAAUCAUGUCAAGAGGGAAGCUUCUGAAUCAGAACCAUCCCGGGGUUUUGGUGUCUUUUGCAAUCGGAUCAGACAUCUGAGUGAAGACUGGAAACUGUCCACUGCUAUUCACUGUGUAGCUGCCAAACCUGCUGCACUCCUGGG